rnacentral:rRNA from 1 species
UAUUUGGGCAAUGGGCGCAAGCCUGACCCAGCAACGCCGCGUGAAGGAAGAAGGCCUUCGGGUUGUAAACUUCUUUUAUUCGGGACGAAGCAUGUGACGGUACCGAAUGAAUAAGCCACGGCUAACUACGUGCCAGCAGCCGCGGUAAUACGUAGGUGGCGCGCGUUAUCCGGAUGUACUGGGUGUAAAGGGCGUGUAGGCGGGAGUGCAAGUCAGAUGUGAAAACUAUGGGCUCAACCCAUAGCCUGCAUUUGAAACUGUACUUCCUGAGUGAUGGAGAGGCAAUCGGAAUUCCGUGGGUAGCGGUGAAAUGCGUAGAUAUACGGAGGAACACCAGUGGCGAAGGCGGAUUGCUGGACAGUAACUGACGCUGAGGCGCGAAAGCGUGGGGAGCAAACAGG